rnacentral:rRNA from 1 species
CCCUUAGAUGUUCUGGGCCGCACGCGCGCUACACUGUUCGACGCAGCGAGUCUUAACCUUGACCGAAAGGUUUGGGUAAUCUUCAGCAAAGUCGAACGUGAUGGGGAUCGAUCAUUGCAAUUACUGAUCGUGAACGAGGAAUUCCUAGUAAGUGCAAGUCAUCAGCUUGCGCUGAUUACGUCCCUGCCCUUUGUACACACCGCCCGUCGCUACUACCGAUUGAAUGGUUUAGUGAGAUCUCUGGAUUGACGCUGGCUAGGGGGCGACCCUUGGCCAGGCUGUCGAGAAACUGCUCAAACUUGAUCAUUUAGAGGAAGUAAAAGUCGUAACA